GAUGAACGCUGGCGGCGUGCCUAAUACAUGCAAGUCGAGCGAACGGACGAGAAGCUUGCUUCUCUGAUGUUAGCGGCGGACGGGUGAGUAACACGUGGAUAACCUACCUAUAAGACUGGGAUAACUUCGGGAAACCGUAGCUAAUACCGGAUAAUAUUUUGAACCGCAUGGUUCAAAAGUGAAAGACGGUCUUGCUGUCACUUAUAGAUGGAUCCGCGCUGCAUUAGCUAGUUGGUAAGGUAACGGCUUACCAAGGCAACGAUGCAUAGCCGACCUGAGAGACGGAUAGGCCACACUGGAGCGGAGACACGGUCAAGACGCCUAAGGGAGGCAGCAGUAGGGAAUCGUCCGCAAUGGGCGGAAGCCUGACGGAGCAACGCCGCGUGAGUGAUGAAGGUCUUCGGAUCGUAAAACUCUGUUAUUAGGGAAGAACAGAUGUGUAAGGAACUGUGCACAUCUUGACGGUAACGAAUCAGAAAGCCACGGCUAACUACGUG
rnacentral:rRNA from 1 species